rnacentral:pre_miRNA from 1 species
GUAGGGGUAGGGUAAGGUUAAGUUAAGUAGGGUACCGGUUUCCGUUUAGGUACGUUACGGUUAACGGUUAACCGUACGGGUUCGGGU